AACGCGAAGAACCUUACCAGCCCUUGACAUGUCCAGGACCGGUCGCAGAGAUGUGACCUUCUCUUCGGAGCCUGGAACACAGGUGCUGCAUGGCUGUCGUCAGCUCGUGUCGUGAGAUGUUGGGUUAAGUCCCGCAACGAGCGCAACCCCCGUCCUUAGUUGCUACCAUUUAGUUGAGCACUCUAAGGAGACUGCCGGUGAUAAGCCGCGAGGAAGGUGGGGAUGACGUCAAGUCCUCAUGGCCCUUACGGGCUGGGCUACACACGUGCUACAAUGGCGGUGACAAUGGGAUGCUAAGGGGCGACCCUUCGCAAAUCUCAAAAAGCCGUCUCAGUUCGGAUUGGGCUCUGCAACUCGAGCCCAUGAAGUUGGAAUCGCUAGUAAUCGUGGAUCAGCACGCCACGGUGAAUACGUUCCCGGGCCUUGUACACACCG
rnacentral:rRNA from 1 species